GGAGGCAACGGAGGUCACCAUGGAGGUCAUGGCGGUGGAGGCUUCGGCGGAGGCUUCGGAGGCGGUGGAGGACUGGGAGGCGGAGGAGGCUUUGGCGGAGGCUUCGGAGGCUGAAACUUCAGAGGAAACAGUGACGAGGAACACGUGACCAACAUGUCGUGCUUGCAGUGGUUUUCCUGAAUUUUCCCUCUAAUGGUCUUU